CCUACGGGGGGCAGCAGUGAGGAAUAUUGGUCAAUGGACGAGAGUCUGAACCAGCCAAGUAGCGUGAAGGAUGACUGCCCUAUGGGUUGUAAACUUCUUUUAUAUGGGAAUAAAAUGUUCCACGUGUGGGAUUUUGUAUGUACCAUAUGAAUAAGGAUCGGCUAACUCCGUGCCAGCAGCCGCGGUAAUACGGAGGAUCCGAGCGUUAUCCGGAUUUAUUGGGUUUAAAGGGAGCGUAGGUGGAUUGUUAAGUCAGUUGUGAAAGUUUGCGGAUCAACCGUAAAAUUGCAGUUGAAACUGGCAGUCGUGAGUACAGUAGAGGUGGGCGGAAUUCGUGGUGUAGCGGUGAAAUGCUUAGAUAUCACGAAGAACUCCGAGUGCGAAGGCAGCUCACUGGACUGCAACUGACACUGAGGCUCGAAAGUGUGGGUAUCAAACAGGAUUAGAUACCCGAGUAGUC
rnacentral:rRNA from 1 species